rnacentral:lncRNA from 1 species
CUCCUGAAGAUUUGAAGGAGAAUUCCACAUGGCAAGAGGGACCAAAGUUCCUAAAGUGGCCAGUGGAGGAGUGGCCUAUAAAAUCAGCUGGAGAGGUUGCAGCACAUGCCAGGGAGAGUGUAAACAAGCUCCAGAGGAAGGCAUUCUCAGGUGCAUUGACAAGAGCUGAAGCGAGAAGUAGUCAGCAGAAAGAAGACCUACAAGACACUCAGGAAAGUCCAAAGAGUGAAACUCAAGAGGGAAUACCUGUGGUGAACCCAACUCUUCUUAGAAGGAAGCCCACUGGUUGGGUUAAAGAUCUUGUGGAAGUAAGAAGAUUCAGUAGCCUGUCCAAACUGGUGAGAGUCGUUGCCUGGGUUUGUCUAGCAGCCAAACAGUGGCUGAAGAGGAAGGGCCGGGCCCCUAAACAGGCAAAGAGGGAGGUAAGAUCACCCAAGCAAGCUGUGCCGACUGUCAAAGAACAUGAAGAUGCACUCAAAGACCUUUUUCUCGCAGCUCAAGAAGGUACAGAUUUUCAGACACAACUCUAAGCAGACUGACAGUGUACAAAGAUGUGAAGUCUGGGCUGCUAGUUUGUGGAGGCAGAAUUCAGACAUUCAACGAAGAUAAGACAGCAGUGCCAGUUUUACCCUUUGAAGCAUGGGUGUCUACACUGCUGGCACAAGAAUCCCACAAAGCAAAUCACGAGGGAGUGGCGGGAACCCUUCUCCGGAUGAGGAAGAAAGCCUGGGUAAUAAAAGGCCGUAGACUUGCCAAGAAAAUGGUUGACAGCUGUGUGGUCUGCAGGAAAAACAAGGCAAAACAGUGUCAACAAAUCAUGGCUGACCUGCCUCUAGAGCGAACAGGCCCAGCUGCACCUUUUGAAUUCACCGCCAUGGACCUGUUCGGCCCUUAUGAAGUGAAAGAUGAGGUCAAGAAGAGAACUAGACUCAAAGUAUGGGGAAUAGUCUUCUGCUGCAUGGCUUCCCGAGCCAUACACACUGAAGUGGUGAGUGACAUGUCAUCUGAAGGAUUCCUGCUAGCCUAUCAAAGGUUCACUUCACUGAGAGGACACCCCAGGAAACUCUGGUCAGACCCUGGCACAAACUUUGUGGGAGCCAAACCCGCACUUCAAACAUUCUUUAACCAACAAAAUAAGUCUGAACUUGAAGACACAGCUGCCAAGCAUGGUACAGAAUGGUCAUGGAAGAUCCACGCUGCAGACUCUCCCCAUAGGAAUGGUGCCGCAGAGGCAGCUGUCAAAGUAGUGAAGCGGGCGUUGAGCAACCUUGGUGGAGAUGGUGGUUUUACUUGGGGAGAAUUCCAAACUUUUCUCUUCAUGGCAGCCAACCUUGCUAAUGAGAGACCCAUUGAUGCAAGAACUCAAAGCAGAGAAGACUGUGUAGAGUACAUCACCCCGAAUUCUCUGCUUUUAGGAUGUACCAAUCCAAAGGGAGACCCUGGAGAUUUCCAGUUUGAUGGCUACCCUUACAAAAGACUUAAACAUAUUCAAGCAGAGGUAAGCCGUUUCUGGAAGAAGUGGAGCCAAUUGGCUGGACCUAAUCUGUUCAUAAGGAACAAAUGGCACACCAAAAGGCGAAAUGUUGCUGUUGGAGAUGUGGUCUGGUUGGCUGACCAAAACGCGCUAAGAGGACAGUACAAGCUGGCUAGAGUGGUCUGUGUCAAUGCUGACAGCAAAGGCAUCGUUAGAGAUGUGCUUGUGAAGACUUUUCCCAGCUAUCCUGUUCACAUCACAAAGUCAAACAGCAAAAAAGGGCCCACAAGAGCAAACGGUGAAAGAACGAAGAGGCUUCAAACCAAAAUCCCAGGCACAAUUCUUCAUACAGAUGUCAGACGCCUUGUCAUUCUACUACCCAUUGAAGAACAAACAGAGGUGUGAAGGGCUUGUGACCUCUCUGGAUUUGAAAAAAAACAGGAGCUCAAGUGGGAGGUGUUGAGCUGAAUAUCAGGAGUGAGUCAAUGAACUACACUUCCCAGAGUGCACCAGCAGCAGCAAACCGGCUGCUUGUCACCUGAUCAAUCAUUUUCACUUAUUUGGAGCACCUGUGAAGGCAUAGAGGGUGUCAGUCAUUCAGAAGAACAAACUUCAGAGGGAAAACUCCAAGUUCACUCACAGGUUCAGUCCAAAGACGCCAAUGGUUUACAACCUAAUUUACUGGCUAAUUUACUGGCUAAAUUACUGGACAGACCAAUCAACUGAAGGCAAACUAAAAAUAAAAAAAGAUUGAGUUGGAAAAUUGAGUUGUCCCUGUGUCCUUUGGAUGGUGAACAAGAGGAGGACUUGACAGUUAUAUCUGAUAAACCCUGACCUGGAUAAACAACAACAGUUAUAUCUGAUAAACCCUGCCCUGGAUAAACAACAACCGUUAUAUCUGAUAAACCCUGCCCUGGAUAAACAACAACCGUUAUAUCUGAUAAACCCU